rnacentral:lncRNA from 7 species
AGGAAACUUUCCCACUCUCUGAUCCGGUUUUGAUCAGUAUCUUAGUAAUAGAUCAAGAGGAGUACUUCUGUAAUGGGUUCUGACACUAUUUAUCAAAUCCAUAGCUCUUGCUAUGCUGCGUCCCGCAGAAAUGAAGAUGAAAAGAAAAAAGGAAUGGAAGAGGAGCAGACAGUAAGAGCUCACCUUCAAGCCAGGAAUCCACUCGGCAUAGGAGUGAAAUGGCUUCUUUUCUCUCCUGCAGAAUUGUCGUUCGAUGCAUAUCCUUUUCACUGUCUGAAGAGAAAACCUGGUGUCUGUUCCUCUCAAUUUUAAGGUUGAGGAAGCUGUAUAGAGGAUGAAAAGAGAUGUUUCAUCGCUCUAAGAGUUCAUUCUGAGGAUGACAGCUUCCAAGAUGUCUCAAAAAGAUAACACCAAACUCUUCUUGGGCUCACUGGGAGAGAAUUCUGACCUCUGAAGAAGUGAGUAAAGAAACAGAGAAUUGGGAAGAACUUUCUUUGUGUGGGGAAGAUUGUGAACUGCUGAUAGAAGACACUGUGCUUCAUUGAAGUGUAAAAGUUUUCAUUUGUUCCUGCUGAACUGAGAGCAGCCAAAGACCUGGUAAUCCUUCUCAAACAUGCAAGCUUUCCAGGUUCUUGGGCACGUAAAUUAGAGCUGUUGGUGUUCCAUCUCUUGCCUCUUUCCUUCUUUUCGCUUUACACCACCCCACAAUCAAAUUUAAGUCUGUGAAAACCAAUGACAAGGUAGGUGUAGAGAGGGAGAGCUUUAAUUAGAUGUUCAGUCAUCUCCACAGAGAUGAAGCCAAACACAUCUUUGGUAGCAGAAUAUUUCUGAAACAGUUUGUCUGUUUUCAAAUAACAAGCUUAAUGUAAUAAGGUUCUUAUGCAACACUAAACUUAAGGACGUGUUUUCACUGAAACACAAUGGAAUCUAAGCUAUCAGUAAGACACUUCAUUUUCAUUUAAGUAACAGCUAGUUUCGUUGGCAGAAGUAUUUCUGAAUUUUCUGCUCUUACUUAUUUAAGGUUGGUUUUGGCAUGAGAUAAAUGUAUCUUCUUGAGGCUGAUUAAAAGAAAGAAAAUAAAAAAAAAAGGCAUAGUGUAGGAGAGCAUUAGUUGUCUUCUUAUUUCUUUGAUCUAGUUUGCUUUUAUAAGUAUGUGUGCUAAAUCUAAUUUUUGAGAAAAUGUUAUUGAUGCAAGAAGCCAGUGGUCAUUUUUUCUGCUGUGGUGUUGUGCCUCCUUUCUUAUGAAAAGCCUGAAUUGAAGAAAAAAAGCAACAGAGACAGCAUUAAGGAAGAACCAACUGAUGCCUUGAUAGUGUGACUAAUGAACCAACUUCCAUUUGCCGCUUGCUGUGAAUCUGCUCCCUUUGCCCCAGAUCUUAACUCUAUGGUCAGUUCUGUUUAAUCUUAGCACCCUCUGCUGUGGACAUCUAUAAUAACAUCUUAUUUAAUUAAUCUCAAUUUACAAGUUGCGUAUCCCUAUUUCUACCAGAGGAUCUACAAAUGUAACACAGCUUGUGCCAAUGGAGCUGCAUCUAGUCUGAAAAAUGUAUUCUAAUCCUUGUCUCAUUCCUGAAGAUAGCCUUUUCCAAGUGCUUACUAAAGAAACAAAUGUGCAGAAUACAGAUAUUCUUAAAUAUUCUGUGUAAGAAAGAGGCCUAAGUCAAAAUCUAGUCUGUGCAGAAGAGGGCUGCAAGUAUGCAAAUAUGCUUGAGUCCAGGGAUAAUUUGGGGUUUUACACCAGGUAAUAAAAAUUAAAAGAAAAAUAAAGAAGUUUUUAUUU